UCCCCUAUAGCAGACAGGUGUGGGCACUAAUCUUUUAAAUUAGGAGGUCUGGUUCAAUUCCAGAUGGGGGAA
rnacentral:tRNA from 1 species